rnacentral:rRNA from 1 species
CCCUUAGAUGUCCUGGGCCGAACGCGCGUUACACUGAUGCAUUCAACGAGCUUAUAACCUUGGCCGAGAGGCCUGGGCAAUCUUGUUAACGUGCAUCGUGAUAGGGAUAGAUUAUUGAAAUUAUUAAUCUUGAACGAGGAAUUCCUAGUAAACGCAGAUCAUCAAUCUGCAUUGAUUACGUCCCUGCCCUUUGUACACACCGCCCGUCGCACCUACCGAUUGGAUGGUCCGGUGAAGCCUCGGGAUUGUGGUUCUUGCCGCUUUAUUGUGGCGUGACCGCGAGAACUUGUCUAAACCUUAUCAUCUAGAGGAAGGUGAAGUCGUAACA